GGGCUCCUAGCUCAAUUGGCAGAGCAGCGGCCUUUUAAGCCGCGGGUUCAGGGUUCGAGUCCCUGGGAGCUCA
rnacentral:tRNA from 1 species